rnacentral:misc_RNA from 1 species
GAAAUGCGAUAAGUAGUGUGAAUUGCAGAAUUCAGUGAAUCAUCGAAUCUUUGAACGCACAUUGCGCCCCUUGGUAUUCCAUGUGGCAUGCCUGUUCGAGCGUCAUUUGUACCCUCAAGCUCUGCUUGGUGUUGGGUGUUUGUCCCGUCUCCGCGCGUGGACUCGCCCCAAAGUGAUUGGCAGCCGGCGUACUGGUCCCGGAGCGCAGCACAUGUCGCGCAAACGAGUGCCUUGGUACGGCGGCGUCCAUAAGCCCCUCUCUCACGCUCUUGACCUCGGAUCAGGUAGGGAUACGCGCUGAACUUACGC